rnacentral:lncRNA from 1 species
UAUGAUAUGUUUUCUGACCGAGACACACAUGUGGACUUGAGUAGCUAUAAAGUUGACAAAGGCAUCCCUAUACAGUUACCAGAAGAGUCAGAUGAGACGGAGGUAUCAUCUUUACGGACGGAUAAAAUUGCAUCACCGAAGCAACGACAAGCACCACCAAAUGAGCAAGAAAAGUCCGAGGGCAUGUUAGACGAUUGUAGCGCCAUAGAAGAGGGGCCGGAGCAGAUUCUUGGGAAACAAACAUGAAACCCUUCAAAAUUAGUGAAAUCUCCUUUUAUUGAUGACAAACCGAAGAAGCGUGUGAAACGUACCGUUAAAGCG